rnacentral:ribozyme from 14 species
UCUUCUUCUUUUUUGUUUUUUUUUUGUUUUUUUUUUUUUCGAUCCAAUUCCUAGUACUAUCGUAGGAAAGUAACAGUGUUCAAACAAAAAAGAAGAAGA